rnacentral:rRNA from 1 species
CCUUGUGGUGGAGCCCUCUUUUAUGUUUAACCUUUUUUUUUUGGGUUAAAACGUUAUGAUUCCAUAACUUUUGGACCGUGAGGCCAAACUUGGCAUGUGAUAUCUUUUCGGAAGGCCCAAAGACAGCCCUCCGACGAAAUAAGCAGGACAAUGGAAAUUUUCCAUUGACUUUUUGUCGACCCUAAAUUUUGACCUUUGAGUACUUUUUCGGGCAUUUUCGUGAUUUGGCCAAUAUUACGGACCCAAAAUUACUUGUUCAAGCAUUGUUUUCGAAUUUUUUCAUGCAUCAAAGCUCGUUAAGAUUAGAUGGGGUAUCCCUACAUAGCGGGUGGGAUCCACGGCGAAUGGUUCAUCAAGUCUUCAAAAAAGAAUAUAUACGAUUGCAUUGCAUAUACUAACGGAUGCGAUCAUACCAGCACUAAUGCACCGGAUCCCAUCAGAACUCCGCAGUUAAGCGUGCUGGGGCGAGAAUAGUACUAGGAUGGGUGAACUCCCGGGGAGUAAGCGUGCUGGGGCGAGAAUAGUACUAGGAUGGGUGAACUCCCGGGGA